CUACUGGGGUUUCUAAUCCUGUUUGCUCCCCACGCUUUCGUGCAUGAGUGUCAGUUUUGACCCAGGGGGCUGCCUUUGCCAUCGGUGUUCCUCCACAUAUCUACGCAUUUCACUGCUACACGUGGAAUUCUACCUCCCUCUGCCAAACUCUAGCCUUGCAGUCUCCAUCGCCAUUCCCAGGUUGAGCCCGGGGAUUUCACGACAGACUUACAAAACCGCCUGCGCACGCUUUACGCCCAGUAAUUCCGAUUAACGCUUGCACCCUACGUAUUACCGCGGCUGCUGGCAC
rnacentral:rRNA from 1 species